CACCAGACUCCUACGGGAGGCAGCAGUGGGGGAUAUUGCACAAUGGGGGGAACCCUGAUGCAGCGACGCCGCGUGGGUGAAGGAGCGUUUCGGCGCGUAAAGCUCUAUCAGCAGGGAAGAAGAUGACGGUACCUGACCAAGAAGCUCCGGCUAAAUACGUGCCAGCAGCCGCGGUAAUACGUAGGGGGCAAGCGUUAUCCGGAUUUACUGGGUGUAAAGGGGGCGCAGACGGCGAUGCAAGCCAGGAGUGAAAGCCCGGGGCCCAACCCCGGGACUGCUCUUGGAACUGCGUGGCUAGAGUGCAGGAGGGGCAGGCGGAAUUCCUGGUGUAGCGGUGAAAUGCGUAGAUAUCAGGAGGAACACCGGUGGCGAAGGCGGCCUGCUGGACUGCAACUGACGUUGAGGCCCGAAAGCGUGGGGAGCAAACAGGAUUAGAUACCCUCGUACCC
rnacentral:rRNA from 1 species